CAGCAGCCGCGGGAAUACGUAGGGUGCGAGCGUUAAUCGGAAUUACUGGGCGUAAAGCGUGCGCAGGCGGUUUCGUAAGACAGGCGUGAAAUCCCCGGGCUCAACCUGGGAAUGGCGCUUGUGACUGCAAAGCUAGAGUGCGGCAGAGGGGGAUGGAAUUCCGCGUGUAGCAGUGAAAUGCGUAGAUAUGCGGAGGAACACCGAUGGCGAAGGCAAUCCCCUGGGCCUGCACUGACGCUCAUGCACGAAAGCGUGGGGAGCAAACAGGAUUAGAUACCCCUGUAGUCCCUGUCUCUUAUAC
rnacentral:rRNA from 1 species